GACAGAGGCCUCAAGCGUUAGGCGGAAUCACUGGGCUUAAAGCGUGUGUAGGCGGUUCGUUAAGUGUCUUGUGAAAUCCCACGGCUCACCCGUGGAACGGCUGGGCAUACUGGCGAUCUUGGGCCAACUAGGGGCAACUGGAACAAGCGGUGGAGCGGUGAAAUGCGUAGAUAUGACAUAGAACACCAAUUGCGAAGGCAGCUUGCUACACGGUUAUUGACACUGAGGCACGAAAGCGUGGGGAUCAAACAGG
rnacentral:rRNA from 1 species